rnacentral:rRNA from 1 species
AUUGAACGCUGGCGGCAGGCCUAACACAUGCAAGUCGAGCGGAUGAAGGGAGCUUGCUCCUGGAUUCAGCGGCGGACGGGUGAGUAAUGCCUAGGAAUCUGCCUGGUAGUGGGGGAUAACGUCCGGAAACGGGCGCUAAUACCGCAUACGUCCUGAGGGAGAAAGUGGGGGAUCUUCGGACCUCACGCUAUCAGAUGAGCCUAGGUCGGAUUAGCUAGUUGGUGGGGUAAAGGCCUACCAAGGCAACGAUCCGUAACUGGUCUGAGAGGAUGAUCAGUCACGCUGGAACUGAGACACGGUCCAGACUCCUACGGGAGGCAGCAGUGGGGAAUAUUGGACAAUGGGCGAAAGCCUGAUCCAGCCAUGCCGCGUGUGUGAAGAAGGUCUUCGGAUUGUAAAGCACUUUAAGUUGGGAGGAAGGGCAGUAAGUUAAUACCUUGCUGUUUUGACGUUACCAACAGAAUAAGCACCGGCUAACUUCGUG